rnacentral:rRNA from 1 species
UACGUAGGAGGCGAGCGUUGUCCGGAUUUACUGGGCGUAAAGGGCGCGUAGGCGGCGCGGUAAGUCACUUGUGAAAUCUCUGAGCUUAACUCAGAACGGCCAAGUGAUACUGCAGUGCUAGAGUGUGGAAGGGGCAAUCGGAAUUCUUGGUGUAGCGGUGAAAUGCGUAGAUAUCAAGAGGAACACCUGAGGUGAAGACGGGUUGCUGGGCCAACACUGACGCUGAGGCGCGAAAGCCAGGGGAGCAAACGGG